AAGCAGAGGGGGCUUAGUGGUGGGGUGACUGCGUACCUUUUGUAUAAUGGGUCAGCGACUUAUAUUCUGUAGCAAGGUUAACCGAAUAGGGGAGCCGGAGGGAAACCGAGUCUUAAUUGGGCGUUAAGUUGCAGGGUAUAGACCCGAAACCCGGUGAUCUAGCCAUGGGCAGGUUGAAGGUUGGGUAACACUAACUGGAGGACCGAACCGACUAAUGUUGAAAAAUUAGCGGAUGACCUGUGGCUGGGGGUGAAAGGCCAAUCAAACCGGGAGAUAGCUGGUUCUCCCCGAAAGCUAUUUAGGUAGCGCCUCGUGAAUUCAUCUCCGGGGGUAGAGCACUGUUUCGGCUAGGGGGCCAUCCCGGCUUACCAACCCGAUGCAAACUGCGAAUACCGGAGAAUGUUAUCACGGGAGACACACGGCGGGUGCUAACGUCCGUCGUGAAGAGGGAAACAACCCAGACCGCCAGCUAAGGUCCCAAAGUCAUGGUUAAGUGGGAAACGAUGUGGGAAGGCCCAGACAGCCAGGAUGUUGGCUUAGAAGCAGCCAUCAUUUAAAGAAAGCGUAAUAGCUCACUGGUCGAGUCGGCCUGCGCGGAAGAUGUAACGGGGCUAAACCAUGCACCGAAGCUGCGGCAGCGAACGUAUCACCCAAGACAACUUUACGGAGUUGACGAUUGACGGAGCGAAGCGACGUCAAAGCGUUCAUUAAAGUCGAGUUGGCUUAGGGAUACGUUCGUUGGGUAGGGGAGCGUUCUGUAAGCCUGUGAAGGUGUGUCGUGAGGCAUGCUGGAGGUAUCAGAAGUGCGAAUGCUGACAUAAGUAACGAUAAAGCGGGUGAAAAGCCCGCUCGCCGGAAGACCAAGGGUUCCUGUCCAACGUUAAUCGGGGCAGGGUGAGUCGACCCCUAAGGCGAGGCCGAAAGGCGUAGUCGAUGGGAAACGGGUUAAUAUUCCCGUACUUGGUGUUACUGCGAAGGGGGGACGGAGAAGGCUAUGUUGGCCGGGCGACGGUUGUCCCGGUUUAAGCGUGUAGGUGUGUGUUCCAGGUAAAUCCGGUUCACUUUAACACUGAGGCGUGACGACGAGGCACUACGGUGCUGAAGCAACAAAUGCCCUGCUUCCAGGAAAAGCCUCUAAGCAUCAGGUAACAUCAAAUCGUACCCCAAACCGACACAGGUGGUCAGGUAGAGAAUACCAAGGCGCUUGAGAGAACUCGGGUGAAGGAACUAGGCAAAAUGGUGCCGUAACUUCGGGAGAAGGCACGCUGACACGUAGGUGAAGUGAUUUACUCAUGGAGCUGAAGUCAGUCGAAGAUACCAGCUGGCUGCAACUGUUUAUUAAAAACACAGCACUGUGCAAACACGAAAGUGGACGUAUACGGUGUGACGCCUGCCCGGUGCCGGAAGGUUAAUUGAUGGGGUCAGCGCAAGCGAAGCUCCUGAUCGAAGCCCCGGUAAACGGCGGCCGUAACUAUAACGGUCCUAAGGUAGCGAAAUUCCUUGUCGGGUAAGUUCCGACCUGCACGAAUGGCGUAAUGAUGGCCAGGCUGUCUCCACCCGAGACUCAGUGAAAUUGAACUCGCUGUGAAGAUGCAGUGUACCCGCGGCAAGACGGAAAGACCCCGUGAACCUUUACUAUAGCUUGACACUGAACAUUGAGCCUUGAUGUGUAGGAUAGGUGGGAGGCUUUGAAGUGUGGACGCCAGUCUGCAUGGAGCCGACCUUGAAAUACCACCCUUUAAUGUUUGAUGUUCUAACGUGGACCCGUAAUCCGGGUUGCGGACAGUGUCUGGUGGGUAGUUUGACUGGGGCGGUCUCCUCCUAAAGAGUAACGGAGGAGCACGAAGGUUGGCUAAUCCUGGUCGGACAUCAGGAGGUUAGUGCAAUGGCAUAAGCCAGCUUGACUGCGAGCGUGACGGCGCGAGCAGGUGCGAAAGCAGGUCAUAGUGAUCCGGUGGUUCUGAAUGGAAGGGCCAUCGCUCAACGGAUAAAAGGUACUCCGGGGAUAACAGGCUGAUACCGCCCAAGAGUUCAUAUCGACGGCGGUGUUUGGCACCUCGAUGUCGGCUCAUCACAUCCUGGGGCUGAAGUAGGUCCCAAGGGUAUGGCUGUUCGCCAUUUAAAGUGGUACGCGAGCUGGGUUUAGAACGUCGUGAGACAGUUCGGUCCCUAUCUGCCGUGGGCGCUGGAGAACUGAGGGGGGCUGCUCCUAGUACGAGAGGACCGGAGUGGACGCAUCACUGGUGUUCGGGUUGUCAUGCCAAUGGCACUGCCCGGUAGCUAAAUGCGGAAGAGAUAAGUGCUGAAAGCAUCUAAGCACGAAACUUGCCCCGAG
rnacentral:rRNA from 1 species